UCGAAUAUUCCGCGAUCAGGUCCUACAUGCUGUAGGUGAAAAGGGAAAUCGGUGUAAAUCCGAUGCGGUCCCGCCACUGUAACGUUGAGGAAAGCUGCGUGCCACUGUUUGUACGGGAAGGGCAGCUUGACGAUGAAACGGAGCCAGGAGACCUGCCUGACGUGUUCGAGAAGA
rnacentral:ncRNA from 2 species